GGUUACAUCUCAUCUACAUUACUUUUUUAUUUCUUCUUUAGUGAAGGAAGAGAAAAUGAAUAGUUAAGAACAACGGAUGAUAGAACAGGGACUGGAACUUCCCAGCAAACCAAGAGGCUAGCACUUGUAGUUGCAGCACUGCCAAGAAAAAGCCUAAAACUUUCAAUAAUAAUGUGUGUCAUAUGUGAAAAAAAACUUCAACAUCCAAAAAGAACCCCUUACAGCAACUUUCCCAGGAUACAUGGAAUAAACCUGCACAAAGAGCUCAAGAAUGGAAAGACUUAUGCACAAGUUUUGAUACGCUUUAUGAGCGAAUACAGGUCAACAAAAUAAGCCAAAGAAAGUGCAUAAAAACUGUAAGUUGAAUGUUGUAGGCAUUAACUUGAAGUGUGCACAAGAGGCAUACUAUCUGUUAAGUGUUGCAAGAGAGACUUACUGAUGAACCAACUGAAUCACGAGUAAGAAGUAGCUGAGAAUGUCCCUUGUUAGCUAGGGGCAGGGUCUGAGCAGUGCAGAGAGAAGCAGGUGGGGGUGGAGGAGGUGCUGCAGACAGGCCAACCUAGCCAGACCCUUGGGAAGGCAGCAGCUGGAGGAGAGAAGGGGCUGGGUGGGAAGUGGGGGCUACCCCUGGGCUCUGCAGAUUCAGGCCAUGGUGAGCAGGUAGUGGUACCCAGUGGCACCUGAGGUGGGGUCCGGCCCAGCGAGGCCCAUGCAGCUCCACAGGGAUGGGGCUGAGUACACGCCCAAUGCUUGCCAUGGUGCUGGGACCUGUGGCUGCUCCAGAGAGCCCAGAGCAGCAACUUAAAAAACAAAAUUUUUUUAAACAAUUUCCUCACACGCCUCUUGGCAUGACAAGAAAAAUGGCUCUGUGUGCCACUAAUUGGCAUGCAUGCUGGGGAUUGCCUAGCCCUGCUCCAUGAUCCUUGUGCAAGAAGUUUGAAGAUCAUUUUGGAGAAGAUGCUAGGUUUCAGUGCAGGUAUCAUAGAAAUUAUUUGUCCAUAGUUUAUUCCCCCAAGCAUGGAGAAGCAUAUGUUGAAAGUGCAGUGAACAGUUGGGGUAUAGACACUCCAAAACUGGUAUGGACUGUAGCCAAGCUUCUUUACUCCAAGCAUCAGGCAGAGGCUUGAAUCCCAUGGCCAUAUGGAAUCAGCAAACUGAAAGAGGACAACACACCCAAUUACAUUCAUAAACUUGUGGCAUUACUUGCUAAUCUUCAUUCUACAUUUAAAGAAGGUCCUGUGCUGGUUGUAGAACAACUGCUACCAGCUGUACAUUUUCUGUCUGAAGGACUAUUGCACCUAAUCACAGGAAAAUUACAGCCAAUGUAAGUCACAUUAUCUAUGUAUGGUCACAACAUGACGGGUAAUAAGCAAACUCAUCCAAAUCCUGAAGGAAAUUAAACUUGGCAUUUCUUAUAACCUUGUUCUUGAUGAACUUUCAGCAUGGACACUGCAGGAAUGCCACGAAUCUGACCAUAGUUCAAAACUUACAGUAGAGACACCACAAUAAAUUCAGCAUGGUCAGUUGUAUCCAAGUGAAAUUAAAGGCCAGCCUUGUACUGUUGUCAUGGAUAAUGGUGAUUUCAAUGAAGAUGGGUUAGCAGGCUCCAAAAUAAGCUAUUAUACAAAUGUAAUUAUGGCACAACCAAUUUAAUUUCACCAAGAAUUAACCAUUUCAGAUACAACAACCUUGGUUAUACAAAAACCUGAUGUUCAGAAAAGUUUAGUCAGCCCAGUUAUCGCCAAAAAUUAUGGGCUUAGUCAGCCCAGUUAUCGCCAAAAAUUAUGAGCUCAACCACAAGCACAAAGAUUCAAGGUUAGUUUUGAUGGAAUAGUGGUGCACUGGCCCACACACUUCUUGAAAUGAUGCAACCACAUGGAAAGGUCCCAAGCAUUUAAUGGAUAUCAUUGCGGUCUUGAAAGAAAUGUCUUGAAGUGGGAAACAUACAAUGUUAAAUGUUAUGCACAGCCUCCAAGCAGAGAGCCAAAAAGUUGCUGACCUGGAGAUACCAGUGAUUCAGUUGGUUGCAGAUCAAGCAGUGUAUAGGUAUAUUGAAGAGGCCCUUCACAAAGAUUGUAGAAUCAUAUAAAAUAAGGGUUGGAAGGGACCUCAGGAUGUCAUCUAGUCCAACCCUCUGCUCAAAGUAGGACCAUCCCCGACUAGAUCAUCCCAGCCAAAGUUUUGUCUAGCCAGGUCUUAAAAACUUCCAAAGAUGGAGAUUCUACCACCUGUUCCACUGUUUCACUACCCUUCUAGUAAGAAUUUUUUUCCUAAUAUUUAACUUAAACUUUCCUUGCUACAACUUGAGACUGUUGCUCCUUGUUCUGUCAUCUGCCAACACUGACAAUAGUCUAGUUCCAUCCUCUUUCAAACCCCGCUUCAGGUAGUUGAAGGCUACUAUUAAAUCUCCUCUCAGUCUCCUCUUUGUCACAACCCAAAGUUGUGAGUUUUUGUUUGUGUGCGCUUCGGCAAUGCUAAAUUGCAGUUUCCUUGCACGGUGGAGUUCUCUGCUGCAGAAGAGAACUCCGGUGCAACGGGGAAUUUCCCGCCAAUUUGAAGCUUCCUUUGCAUGGUGCAUUUCUUUUGCAUCUCAGAGAUGAACAGUGCAAAGGAGUUCCCGCCAUUUGUAUGAGAGUUCAUGCCACAUUAUUGGCCAACUCUAAUAUAUGCACACGUAACGGCUAGCGAUUGGCUUGCUAGCCGUAUAAAGGGCUUGGGUGGCUUCCACCCAGGUUGGAGAGAAAUCACUUGGAGAGAAAUCACUUAAAGAGCUUGAAGAUCUCUAAGCGCUGCGGAUCCUCACGGACCCAACGCAUUUCUUAAGCAGGCAACAGAGGUCUAAACAGCCUCUGGCCUCUCCCCGUCGCCAAGCGCAAUCCUAGACGUAUCCCUUUCCUAUAUACUCAAUUUUCGAACCCACGGAGCCUUAACAACUCCAGGGCCUGAGAACCGGACAGACCUCACGGAGCUUCGACAAGUCUGUGGGAAAGAAAUUGCCGAACCUGUGGAACCUUAACAACUUCGGGGCCAAAGAACCGAAUUUGUCGUAGUCCUCCAACAAGGAUUUAAGUGGAGCUGCACCUGGAAACUGUCCAGCCUACACCGCGACCAUCUUGGGUGUCAUUGAUAAAAACAUUGAACAAAACUGGCUCCAGGACCGACCCAUGAGGCACUCCACUUGAUACCAGCAGCCAACUAGACAGUGAGCUAUUAUUACUCUCUGAGUCUAUCCGCCUUAGAGUCCAUUCCUCAAGCCUAUACUUCCUUAACUUGCCUGCAAGAAUGUUGUGGGAAACUGUUACCAAAAGCCUUGCUAAAAUUGAGGUAUAUCACAUCCACUGGUCUCCCUACAUCCACAGAGUCAGUCACUUCUGAUCAUAGAAGGCAAUCAGGUCGGUCAGGCAUGACUUGCCGCUGGUGAAUCUACGCUGUUUCUCAUCACCUUUUUCUCUGCCAAGUGCUUAGAAAUGGAUUCCUUGAGGAUCUGCUCCAUGAUUUUUCCAGGGACUGAGGUAAGGCUGACUAGUCUGUAGUUCCCUGGAUCUUCCUUUUCCCCUUUUUUAAAUAUGGGCACUACAUUGUAGCAGAAAGCCCCUUUUACUCUUGCCUGCAGUUGCUCUCCCCUCCUUGGAUAUGUUUUUCCUCUUCUACCUUUUCUUCCUUCCUCUUUCUUUCACUUUAAGAUAAGGAAUUGUGUUUUGAAAUUUGUAUGUGUGCAUUUUGUAUCUCCCCUUGUAUUUUGGUAUUUUUAUCCAUUUGUGUGCCAUGGCAUUACUUUUGUAGCUUGUAUUUUAUACUCUUCACCUUUCAACUUUCAACUAAAUGUGUUUAGUUUCAUAAGUAAGUUAUACAUUGUAACAAUGUUAACAAGGGCAGGAAUCAAACUGCCCUUCCCUGUAUCAGGCUGGUCCAUGAAAGAAAGAGUGAAAUCAGUGAUUGAAUGUGUAACACGGUAGCAGGCAGCGAUUAACACCUAAGGAAACUGCAGAUCAACCAAAGGAAGAACUCAAUAGAAGACAAUGCAGCAACCGGGACAUCUCUAAACGUCACUGAUCAAGGGCUAGAAGCCCUGGUCUGAGUUAAUCAACGCCGGGGACCAACUUUUGGGCUGAAUAUCUCCAAAUCAACUGCUCCCAGAGCUCUAUUCAAAAUUCAUCAACGGACUCCCAAACCUGCACGUACGUGCGGACAACCCCUGGGGCUGACAGAUGCCAUCCAGUAGCCACUGAGGGGGAAGUCCCACGAGGGUCAAUGACCCCUGGAUUGGGCAAACCUGAAAACUGGGGAGUCACCAAAGUCUGCCAAGGACAGAUAAAAAGCAGUGAAAAGUGACCCUCAGGGGCGCCCUCUUGAUCUCCAACUUGACCAGCACCUGACCUGUCCAGCCAGAAGGACCAGCUGGCGACCCCCUUCUGCAAGAUAACACCAUGCUGAAAGAAGCCUCAAUGACAGACUCCAGCGCCUGUGGGAUAAGUAUACCUGACUCUUGUAGCUUGCUAGUGUGUGUGUGUGUGUGUGUGAAAGGACCAGCCCCAAGGUUUAUGAUUUAACUCAUUACAGUGUUUCAAUCCACCUAAUAAACUAGAAUUUUAAGGAUCCUGAGUUGGACAUCUGUAGCCAACAACGUUUGCCCUUUUCCAAUCAUCAAGAACCUCUCCUGAUUGCCAUGGGUUUUCAAAGAUGAUGGCCAGUGGCUCUGCAGUCUCAUCAGUCACUCCCUCAGUACCCAAGGGUGCAUCCUGUUCGGCACCAUGGACUUGUAUAUUUCCAGCUUUUCUAAAUAGUUCCUCACUGAUGAUUACUCGCAUUCUUCCCAAACUGUGCUACCUGGUGCAGUAGCCUGAGAGCUAGCCUUGCCUGUGAAGACUGAGGUGAAAAGGGCAUUGAAUACUUCAGCCUUUUUCUCAUCAUGUCACUAGGUUGCUGCCUCCAUUUAGUAAGGGACCCACAUUUUCCCUGAUCUUUCUUUUGUUGCUGACAUACUUGUAGAAACUUCUUACCCUUCAUGUCCCAUGCUAGCUACAACUCCAAUUGUGCUUUGGCCUUCUUGACUUCCCUGCAUGCCUGAGCAAUGCUUUUAUACUCUUCUCUAUUUAUUUGUCCAAGUGUCCACUUAUAAGCUGCUUUUUUGUGACUUGGUUUACUGAAGUCUUCCCUGCUAAGCCAAGCUGGUCUUCUGCUAUACUUGCUGCACUCAUUGUAAGGUUUCUUGCAAGUACAGCCAAUUCUCCUGGACUCCUCUUCCCCUCAGACUGCCUUCCCAGGGGAUCCUGACCAAGAGUUCUGAGUCAGUCUGCUUUUCUGAAGUCCACAGUCCUUACUCUGCUGCUCUCCAUCCUUCCUUUCCUCAGUAUCCUUAACUCAAAUGUCUUGUGAUUACUACUGCCCAAGUUGACAUCCACUAUACUACAUUCCCCACCAAUUCUUCCCUGUUUGGGAGCAGCAGCUCAAGAAGAGCAUGGCCCUUAGUUAGCCACUCCAGCACUUCUGCCAUGAAGUUGUGCCCAAUACUCUCCAAAAGCUUCCUGGAUUGCCUGUGCAUUGCUGUAUUGUCCUCCCAGCAGAUGUCAAGAUGACUGAAGCCCGCCAUCAGAAACAGCACUUGUGAUUGGGAAGCUUUCACUAGCUGUUUGAAGAAGCCUCAUCCACCGCUUCCUCCUGGUCUGGUGGUCUAUAGCGACACCCAGUACAAUAUUACCCUUGUUGCUCUCCCCUCUAACCUUAACCUAGAGAUUUUCAACAGGCCUAUCUCCAGUUUCAUACUGGAUUUCUGAGCAAUUGUACAUCUUUUACAUACAGUGCAAUUCUUCCUCCUCUCCUCCCCUGCCUGUCCUUCCUGAACAGUUUGUACCCACCCAAGACAGUGCUCCAGUUGUGUGAGCUAUCCCACCAAGUCUCUGUUAUUCCAAGCAUGUCAUAGUUCUGUGACCGAGUGAGAACUUCUAAUUCUUUCUGCUUGUUUUCCAGGCUCUGUGUAUUCAUGUACAGGCACCUGAGGUAAGUAGUCAAUUGCCCUGAUUUGUCAGGGCAUAUGAGAACACCUCCCAUCACCCUUCCUGCUUGCUCUUCCUCUAGGUCUCCCACAUCCCCACCUACUCCAGGACUUUGGUCUCCAUUCCCUGGUGAGCCUAGCUUAAAACCCUCCUCACUCAGUUAGCGAGCCUGCUUGCAAAGAUGUUCUUCCCUCUCUUCAUCAGAUGGAUCCCAUCUCUCCCCAGCAAUCCUCUCUCUUGGAAGAGCAUCCCAUGGUGAAAGCAGCCAAAUCCCUGCUGGCAACACCACCUGUGCAGCAGGUACCUCCUGAAGACUCCUCAAGCAACUGACAGCUUGAAACAGGUGGUAGAUAUCACUACAGAAAAUGAACAUGAUGAAUUCAUCAAUUCAACUGCUUUUCAGGAAUUGGUACGUUCAGCAUUUGAAGAAGUGCUUAGUUGUGAAUCAGAUAUGCCUGAGUAUUUUCUGUCUUAUAUCUCUGAUGCUGAAAUCCUUUUUUGACAUUACCAUUGUCUGAGGAGUGGAGCAAAUUUUGAAGAGUGCUUAUCAACUUCCACUGUUAGCAGCUUAUGGAAAUGUCAACUAUCUAGAAUACCUGUCCUUGUAUUACUGGUGAAUGACAACAUUGAGAAUAUGAAAAGGUGCACAUGGCUACAAUGUUUUGAUUUUUGGUGACUGGAAAGACUUACAGCAAACUGCCUCCAGACCAGGUCAUUGAAAUGACCAUGAACAAAGAAUCCAAGAACAAAAGUAGUGGGGGCCAGAUUGGAUUUACCAAGAAUCUAUCCAUGGUUGCAGUCAACAUACCCAGUAGACCAGUUAUUAUGCAGUUAAGGGAAAAACUAAAACAGGUGCCUCAUUUCAAGCAACACUUGUAUCGCCAUCCAGAACUGGGUCCACCAAGAAUGGAGAUGGACUGCAAGGUUGCUGAUUCUGUGAAGACCGCUCUGGAAGAAUGGGAUGCCGACCCAUGGGAUCUGCAUCUAUGAGGGUAAUGUGAUGGUGGAAAACAUUUUGGAUAGACUUUCUUCCAGAACUCAGUCAAUACAUGAAAUUUACCACAUGGAAAAGCAAAACAUUUGCGACAAAGACAACUGCAACCACAUGCAAGCAAGAGAGUGUAGGAAGAUGGUUGACUACACUUCAAUGAAACAAGUCACUGACCUUCUAACCAGCAAAAAAAAAGACAACCAUAACUUCAGAAGAAAUCAUGCAAUACAGAAUUACUGCUGAGCCUUUUGCUCUUGACAGCAGAUGGAAUGUUCCAGAAACCUGUCAAAUCAAAGUUCAUAACAUUGAUGAACCUCCAGUUGAUCUCACCACCAUCAUAUUAUUGUGCAUUAAUAGAUGUUGGAAUGAAAUGGAAUAAAGUCCAAAUAAAGUCCCACCAAGCAACACAUGGUCUGAGUAAGUCCUCAGUUUCUUCAAGUAUGUUGCUGGCUGACAUCCACAAGCAAUGGCAUUUCAUUUCAUGAAUGCUGUUUAUGAUGAAGAACUGUUGAAGACUAGUACAAAACAGCAUGAGCAACAGCCUUGCUCAAAGCCAUUUGGGUUCAAUUCCUAAUGUCUACGCUGUUUCUGACCAGCAAACGUCUACUGGAGCAUCCUGGCACUCAUUUCUAACAAAGCAUCCUAACAAAAGGAGACCAUAUUUCCUCUAGAAUGAAUGCUGUUCUUACUUCCACCACGCUGACCUAUACUUCACAAUUAAUCCAAUCUGUUAGGAUUUAAAAUCCAGAAAACAGAGCGUGCUUUGUAUUGAAAUCUCCAUGCGAGGCUGGCAAAAUGGCGUUUCCUCCAUACACUCUUGAUUUCGAAGAUACUUAUGUAUAGAUUGUUGCUUCCUACAUGAGUCAUGUGACUAAGCAGAUAUGACCAUGUACAAGAAGAAACCAGGAGACCAUCAUUCUACUACUGCUGUUCGUUAUUUCCCAAGUGUGAUGUAGCAUCUGCUGGUCUUGGGGCUUACAGAUGCAUUGGAGCAGACAGUGGGAGGUUUCUUUGGCUGUGGUAAAGUGACAUCAAUGAAGCAAACCUUACAGUCAAAAGAUAUGAUGUAUAUGGAGACUAUGCAACAACUUGCAAAAAAAAAGUGAGAAGCUUACUGAAGAUCCAUUCCAUAAACUGGCUUUAUUCAUUGUCAGAAUACUUUACAGUGCGAGCGAUAGUUCUCCACUAUGAAUGGAGAGAUUCAAAACAUGCACAAACUUGUGAUCUAACAAAUUUUGGGUGGACAUCAUGUGUGGAUGUGUUGGAACCUGAUGCAUAUUAAAAGUGGACUGCCAGAUGGAAUGAAAUUGCCUCUAAUCCAUGAAAAUGGACAUUCAGAUGAGCCAAUUAAAGCUACUGUUGUAGAGUCAUCUGAAGAAGAGUGAUACAGAAGAAUGCCUAGAUUAAAAAUAUCCAGUGUAUUCCAUAUUACAGACUUGACUUCAAAUUUGAGUUGCAGUGUUUUAUUUUACUUAAAUGUAUUCCAUAAUCACUUGUCCCUUUGUUAUUAAUAAUAUUAAAUAUGACUUUGAAAAAAAUAGAUGGUAAAACUUUCCACUUGAAAAAUACUUUUGGUGUUGCUAAAAAAAAGCAGUCAGUAUUGAUGGGUUUUGCAUUUAAAGGCUUGGAGAUGCCAAACAAUGGGUUAUUACUUAUCAAAAGACAAAAGGAAGCUUGUAGGCUAAUUACAAUACCUAUUUAAAGUAGUUUAGAAAAAUCAAAAUUAUUCAUCUUUUUUGUUAUGACCACCAUUUUUAAAGACAGAGGCUAAACGCCAAAAUUAGAAAAGUAACCCCCACAGGCUAAAUUUCAUCCUAAGCCACUCAAAAAUGAUUUCCAAUCAUAAAAAGGUGCCCUAAAAAAAACAAUGCAUAGGCUAUAUAUAUAUCUAUAUAUAUAGUCCAUGCAUUUUUAAGGGACUUAUUUAUGACUGGAAAUAUAUAUAUGAUACAUAUAUAUGACUGGACUAUAUAGGCAGAUACAUCCUUUUCUUUAUUGAUCCAUAACCACAGUUCUUUGAAGAGGAUCAGUUUGUUUUUCAUACUAGGAAAGGCUAUGUGGCUCACUACUUAGUUCCAGAAAGUCAGAAGUUUGCUAGGCAUCGAAACUGGAGGGUUCUAGAUGGCUUAUAAAGUAGAUUUUCAUCUGGAAUUACACCCACCUGUUAGAGACUUUACAAACCCAGAAAAAUCAAGAGACUGGCCAAGGCUAUGCUAUGAAGCUCUGCUGUCAUAGCUGUAUCAGCCAGGAAUGGGAGAGGGAAAAGAAAAUAAAUCAGUCAUUCCCCAUCACCUGUACAGCUAUGCUAGUCAAAUCCUUGGUGUAAAUACAGACAGACUAUCAUCUUGGCUUUGGUGGUAGGUAAUGGGGGUAGCAAUUCUAGCAAAAAUAGACAUGUUGCAUGCUCAUUAGACAGCUCUGUCAAUGUAGAUAUAACAGAAGGGGCUCUUCUAGUGUAGAAAAGCCUUCAGGUGAUUUUAGUAGACAAUUCUUGUAGCUCUGAAUCUGUACUUUACAUGGUAGAGCCCUCUAGUCCACUGCUGAAAAAGAGCACUGGGAAAACCCUUGUUUGCUCCAUGUUCCUCUGCGUCUAAUUCACAUUUCCAAGAAUUGGUGGUUUUAAGAGUUCUUCAGAAGCAAAGAGGAAUGUACAACUAAACAGGGUGGAAGUAAAAAUACGAGCAUCUAAAUAUCCUAAAUCUAGCCAGGAGGGUAAGAAUAGGAAGAAGAGCCCCUGGGAAGAGGAAUGCCAGCCAUAAGAACCAAAAAGAGACCAUUUGAGCACAUCAGGAAAAACAGCCUCCCCCCCCCCCUUUUUUUUUUUUAUAUUGUUUUAAAGUGGAAGAGAAAGGAAAAUGGCUUGAAUGCUUUUUCUUCACUCAAACACAAAUGCAAGGAAGCUUGCUGCAGUCACAAUGGUAAGCAUCUUCAGAUGUCCAGACUUGGAGGCUGUAGAAGAGAUCAAGUCAAUAACUUCAGUUCCUGCCAACCCCCAGCAAAAGCAUGUACAUGCUUUAGAGCCUAAACUGAGUGACACGCUAGCUUGACAAAUCUCCACAAAUUUCAAAUGUGAAUCAAGGGUGUACUUGGUAUUCAAAUGUGAAUCAGGUAUUUAUUUAACACUGAGGGGAGAA